rnacentral:lncRNA from 1 species
CGGCUGUGUGGGUGGGUGGAGCAGGCAGUGGUGUUGAAGUUGGAUUACUCCUCCAAAUGGGUUUAGGUUUGGUGAAUUAGAUUCUUGCAUCUUUUAAAAGACAAGGGAGUGACCCUGAUGUAGGGGAGUGAACCCAUUGCGAUCUAACACCAAACCCUGAUCUGGGUUUACCCGCACCAAAUUUUGACCAUCUCCACCGACCCUUUUUCUGUCGCCAAGUGAAAAGGUGAAGAGCCACGGGAAUCCAGCUCGGCAACGAGUUCGGGGUUCAGACUCAGUAACU